rnacentral:tRNA from 1 species
GGACCAUUAGCUCAGGUGGUAGAGCAACUGACUCUUAAUCAGUGGGUCUAGGGUUCGAGUCCCUAAUGGUCCA